rnacentral:tRNA from 1 species
AGCUCCGUAGUGUAAUGCUCGUUGGAUUGCAAAUCCAAAGGUGUAGAUGAGAGUCUACCGGGGCUU